AGAAGUGCUAAUAUUUUUAUUAGUAACAAACUGCUAAAUUAGUCUGGAGACAAGAUCCACGACAGUGGGGAGCGGCAAAGGAGGGCGACUCCAGAGUUUUAAUUUUUUCCAAUUGUUCUUGAGAUGCAGUCAUAAUUUUACAGACGUCAGCAAUUCUAAACAUUUAUGUGUAUCUAGUUAGAUGCCCGAAGUGCAGAAUACAGUAGAAGAGACGAAUACUCUGGCAAGUACCGCUCGGGAUACGGAGAAAAAUUUGAGAAAAUCUAAAGAUAACAAAGACAAGAAAGAAGAAUGGACACAAGAAUCUUUGACAUCCGUUAGGAUUAAAGUAAUUCGUAAGAACGACUCUGCGCAGCAGCUCUAUAGCAAAAGAUUUGUCACUCGUUGUUGUUCACACGAGACACUGGCUACCUAGUGAAAUGCUGCCUGCGACUUUAAUCCAAACAGUCUCAAAAAGCUACAGAGUCGAAAAAUUUUAGGAGAAACCUGGAAUUGCUCUAAUACAUAAUAAACCGCCGCUGGUAAAAUACUCCUCGUUGAGAGUAACUGCUGGCCUAAGACGGAGAAGGGGCCACUGAGCGACUCAGAAAGCACCGGAAGGGCCAAUCCCUGCGGCCCCACUAACACCCAUCUAGUGGGUCACAUGUGUAUUGGUCAGGCGCAACCACGGAGGAGCGCACGCCCGACCUUUGUCUCGAGUAGCCCUCGAGGUCUUGGCAGAACGUUUCCACGACGCCGUCUACCACCAGCUGAGCGCCUCUUUCCUCCAAUUCCUCGAAUCUUCAGUGAAGAAAGUUGUUGAAAAGUAAAAAAAAGAUCUAUUAAUGAAAGUCUUGUUGACUUCUCCACCACGCCUUCAAAAACAGAGCCGGCGCCAGAGGGAGGCGGGCGAGGGGCCAAUGUCUUCAACGCCUCGUGCAGGUCUAUGUACACCUGGCAGAGAACGACCAAUAAUAGCAAGCAGCCUGAAAGUUCUAAUGGCUUACCAGAUCGUUCGACCAAUCCCAGAUGGCCCGACGAAUGAAGGUCAAGCUGCCUUAUUAUACGGCAACCAGUAAGAAGCUUGUAAUGCGACCAGUUGCGAUAAUCAGACUUAUCAGCUUGCAGAACGUCUCAAACUCUUGAAUUUGAGAAAAACGGGCGCCGUUAUCCUUCGCCACACCAAAAAGAAUUUGCUCGGCAUCCGUCAAGAAGCGAUCUAAAAUUCUAUUGGUGAUAAAAAAUGGGCACCCUAAAAAGAAAGAAAUGGAAAAUGUCGAAGUUUGAGAACCAGAAAUAGACUUUAGCAAACUUAAGAAAGUCGACGC